AUUGAACGCUGGCGGCAUGCCUUACACAUGCAAGUCGAACGGUAACGGGCCUUCGGGUGCCGACGAGUGGCGAACGGGUGAGUAAUACAUCGGAACGUGCCCGAUCGUGGGGGAUAACGAGGCGAAAGCUUUGCUAAUACCGCAUACGAUCUACGGAUGAAAGCAGGGGACCGCAAGGCCUUGCGAGGACGGAGCGGCCGAUGGCAGAUUAGGUAGUUGGUGGGAUAAAAGCUUACCAAGCCGACGAUCUGUAGCUGGUCUGAGAGGAUGAUCAGCCACACUGGGACUGAGACACGGCCCAGACUCCUACGGGAGGCAGCAGUGGGGAAUGUUGGACAAUGGGCGCAAGCCUGAUCCAGCCAUGCCGCGUGCAGGAUGAAGGCCUUCGGGUUGUAAACUGCUUUUGUACGGAACGAAAAGCCUUCUUUUAAUACAGGAGGGUCAUGACGGUACCGUAAGAAUAAGCACCGGCUAACUACGUG
rnacentral:rRNA from 1 species